rnacentral:siRNA from 1 species
UAAAACGACUCUCGGCAACGG